AACGCACGAGACCUGCGGACCUGCGGAAGGAUCAUUAUCGAGUUUUGACUGGGUUGUAGCUGGCCUUACGAGGCAUGUGCACGCCCUGUUAAUCCACUCUACACCUGUGCACUUACUGUGGGUUUCAGAUCGUGAAUUGGGCCUACGGGCUCGUGAAACGCAUCUGUGCCUGCGUUUAUUACAAACACUAUAAAGUAUCAGAAUGUGUGGGUUGCGAUGUAACGCAUCUAUAUACAACUU
rnacentral:misc_RNA from 1 species